CGUUUACGGUUCGUGACCCCCUUCGGGCGUGUGUCGCACGUACGUAUCAUACGCACUGGUCUCCGAUAGCAACGAACGUGACCGUACUCUAUUGUUGCAGCGAAUGUAUGCAUCUUCGGGUGUAUCUACCGCUGCUUAGCAUAUUUCAUGCCUCGUGCGUGUGUAUGCAUUAAACUAUAGAGACCGCUGUAUUUUUUUUAAACCAGAGGAAGGAUACGGCAAUAACAGGUCUGUGAUGCCCUCAGAUGUUCCGGGCUGCACACGUGCUACAAUGAUCAUUGCACUGUGCAUCUAACCCAAUGUGCGUGGACGCCACGGUAUGUAUUUAUGCUUCGGCGUAGUAUAUAUCAGUUGGUCGGCCGCGCCGAACCUACUUCGAAAGUAAAAUUUCUCAGUGGGUAAUCCAUUAGAAGUAAUGACUCGCAUAGACCAUGGUACACACUUAUAUAUGUACGCGCAGGUUCUACCCGGCCGGCCUUUGUGUCGGUGCAGUGCGUAGCUUGUUGUUUCGUACGUACCACUCCGUAUUAAUUCAUACGUGGGGAUAGAUCAUUGUUUAAUUGUUGGUCUCGGUCUUAACUAGGAAUGCCUUGUACGGGUCUCCGGUUCAACAUACCACCCGGAAUACGUCCCUGCCCUUUGUACACACCGCCCGUCGCUCUUACCGAUGGAUUAUACUAUGAAUCUAUAGGACUGCCAAAGUUGUGCACUCGUGCACGCUUAGUGGAAAUAUAUAUGAAUAGUGUGAU
rnacentral:rRNA from 1 species